rnacentral:rRNA from 1 species
UGGGGAAUUUUGGACAAUGGGCGAAAGCCUGAUCCAGCAAUGCCGCGUGUGUGAAGAAGGCCUUCGGGUUGUAAAGCACUUUUGUCCGGAAAGAAAUCCUUGGCUCUAAUACAGUCGGGGGAUGACGGUACCGGAAGAAUAAGCACCGGCUAACUACGUGCCAGCAGCCGCGGUAAUACGUAGGGUGCAAGCGUUAAUCGGAAUUACUGGGCGUAAAGCGUGCGCAGGCGGUUUGCUAAGACCGAUGUGAAAUCCCCGGGCUCAACCUGGGAACUGCAUUGGUGACUGGCAGGCUAGAGUAUGGCAGAGGGGGGUAGAAUUCCACGUGUAGCAGUGAAAUGCGUAGAGAUGUGGAGGAAUACCGAUGGCGAAGGCAGCCCCCUGGGCCAAUACUGACGCUCAUGCACGAAAGCGUGGGGAGCAAAACAGGAUUAGAUACCCUGGUAGUCCACGCCCUAAACGAUGUCGACUAGUUGUUGGGGAUUCAUUUCCUUAGUAACGUAGCUAACGCGUGAAGUUGACCGCCUGGGGAGUAC